GCGGCCAACCACGGGAGUCCGGUAGCGGCCGGGCUGAGAGGAGGGCCACCCAGCCCUCGACCGUCGAUACCUGAUCAGGGUCAUGCCUGCGCAGGGAGGUCCUCGUGGUGCGCA
rnacentral:ncRNA from 1 species